CCGAGAGCUGCCCAGUGACAUGAGCCUACCAGACGAGCUAAAUUACUUCUAUGCUCGCUUCGAGGCAAGUAACACUGAAACAUGCACGAGAGCAUCAGUUGUUCCGGACAACUGUGUGAUCACGCUCUCCGGAUCCGAUGUGAGUAAGACCUUUUAACAGGUCAACAUUCAUAAGGUCGCAGGGCCAGACAGAUUACCAGGACGUGUACUCCGAGCAUGCGCUGACCAACUGAUGAGUCUGUAAUACCAACAUCUUUCAAGCAGAUCACCAUAGUCCCUGUGCCUAAGAACACUAAGAUCCAGGGCUCCCGAGUGGCGCAGCGAUCUAAGGCACUGCAUCUGCAAGAGGUCGUCACUACAGUCCCUAGGUAGAAUCCAGGCUGAAUCAAAUCCGGCCGUAUUUGGGGGUCUCAUAGGACGGCGCACAAUUGGCCCAGCGUCAUCCAGGUUUGGCCGGGGUAGGCC
ensembl:lncRNA